rnacentral:lncRNA from 1 species
CCGAGGAGAAAGAAAAGAAAUGAGAGCUCCAUGUUUUCCUGAUGCUGUCCUAGAAGGGGAAUCACGUAACUGCUUGACUUUUGGGAACAAGGCGAAACUGCAGUGCCCCGACUCGCAGACUGCGCUGAGCGACGGCUGCCCUGGGUGGCGGGGAGCCUGUUUCCAGCCGGACCGCGUCCCGGGGCACUCCGCAGCGCCGCGCCUGCGCGCUCAGCCCGUCGCCGCGCCAGCCCCGCCGACGUGCGCUCGCUGCCUCCGCGGCGCCAGGCCCCGGAGAUGCGCGCCUGCCCGGUCCGUGCCAGCUCCAGACAUCUGUGGAGUUUAAGAACAUGGAGUUCAUC